UUGUGAGUGGAUUUGGUAGACGGAAACUGAAAGAAGCCUGUCGUAUAUAUGUAUAUAUAUUCAUGUGUGUGUAUAUGUUUGUGUGUCUGUGUUUGUCCCCCCAACAUUGCUUGACAACCGAUGCUGGUGUGUUUA